rnacentral:rRNA from 1 species
UACGGGGGGUGCAAGCGUUGUCCGGAAUGAUUGGGCGUAAAGCAUCUGUAGGUGGUUUCUAAAGUCGACUGUUAAAGCCCAGGGCUCAACUUUGGAAAAGCGGUCGAGUACUUAAGAACUUGAGUUUGGUAGGGGUAGAGGGAAUUCCUUGUGGAGCGGUGAAAUGCACAGAGAUAAGGAAGAACACCGAUGGCGAAAGCACUCUACUGGGCCAAGACUGACACUGAGAGAUGAAAGUCGGGGGAGCGAAAGGG